rnacentral:rRNA from 1 species
CUUCCGGGUUGUAAACCUCUUUUUAGUAGGGAAGAAGCGAAAGUGACGGUACCUGCAGAAAAAGCACCGGCUAACUACGUGCCAGCAGCCGCGGUAAUACGUAGGGUGCGAGCGUUGUCCGGAAUUAUUGGGCGUAAAGAGCUCGUAGGCGGUCUGUCGCGUCUGCUGUGAAAACCCGAGGCUCAACCUCGGGCCUGCAGUGGGUACGGGCAGACUAGAGUGCGGUAGGGGAGAAUGGAAUUCCUGGUGUAGCGGUGGAAUGCGCAGAUAUCAGGAGGAACACCGAUGGCGAAGGCAGUUCUCUGGGCCGUAACUGACGCUGAGGAGCGAAAGCGUGGGGAGCGAACAGGAUUAGAUACCCUGGUAGUCCACGCCGUAAACGUUGGGCGCUAGAUGUGGGGACCAUUCCACGGUUUCCGUGUCGCAGCUAACGCAUUAAGCGCCCCGCCUGGGGAGUACGGCCGCAAGGCUAAAACUCAAAGGAAUUGACGGGGGCCCGCACAAGCGGCGGAGCAUGCGGAUUAAUUCGAUGCAACGCGAAGAACCUUACCAAGGCUUGACAUAUACGAGAACGGGCCAGAAAUGGUCAACUCUUUUGGACACUCGUAAACAGGGUGGUGCAUGGGUUGUCGUCAGCUCCGUGUCGUGAGAAUGUUGGGGUA